rnacentral:misc_RNA from 1 species
UUUCUAUUAUUCUUUUUCUCUUUAUGACUAUUUUCAUUCUUGUAAAGGCUUCAAUUUACCUUGGUUAAAGUUUUUCUCAUGUUGUCUAUGUUCCUAUAUCCUUGAAGAAAAUUUCCUGGCUGGAUGAUAAACUAUUCUUUUCACCCUUCCGUUUUUUAAACUGCUGUUAAUUGGAUGUCCAAAUUUUAGUCAUUGGUUUGGUUGUGUGGUUUCUGCUUCUCUACUUAAGUUUUAUUAGCAUGAGGCUGAAAGAUGUAGAAACAUCUUUUCUGGAAUAAAACUGCAUGAAAUUGAUAUUUGUGUUUUGCUUUUUUAUAUAUUUUGUACUUGGAGAAUGAAUUUUGAGUAACAAAUUUGUUGCAGUAGUGCUUCUGUACUCCCUUUCCAAAGGAUUUAUGUUUCAUGAACCUUGUUUCUCCGCUGAGACUUUACUUUUUAAUGGUUAAUUUGCUG